rnacentral:lncRNA from 1 species
ACAGCACGCCUCUGUUUACACGGCCGAGGUCUACGCAAUAUGGACCGUAGUUAAAAAGAUCAUCGCUGACAAACACGAAAACACAGUCAUAUACACUGAUUCCUUAAGCACACUGAAGGCUCUACAUGUGAAAUCUGAAUGUGAACCCCUAUUAGGGGAUAUUUUAAAUCUGGUCUCGGUGAAUAAAU